UAGGGAAUCUUCGGCAAUGGACGAAAGUCUGACCGAGCAACGCCGCGUGAGUGAAGAAGGUUUUCGGAUCGUAAAACUCUGUUGGUAGAGAAGAACGUUGGUGAGAGUGGAAAGCUCAUCAAGUGACGGUAACUACCCAGAAAGGGACGGCUAACUACGUGCCAGCAGCCGCGGUAAUACGUAGGUCCCGAGCGUUGUCCGGAUUUAUUGGGCGUAAAGCGAGCGCAGGUGGUUUAUUAAGUCUGGUGUAAAAGGCAGUGGCUCAACCAUUGUAUGCAUUGGAAACUUGUAGACUUGAGUGCAGGAGAGGAGAGUGGAAUUCCAUGUGUAGCGGUGAAAUGCGUAGAUAUAUGGAGGAACACCGGUGGCGAAAGCGGCUCUCUGGCCUGUAACUGGCACUGAGGCUCGAAAGCGUGGGGAGCAAACA
rnacentral:rRNA from 1 species